rnacentral:rRNA from 1 species
GAUGAACGCUGGCGGCGUGCCUAAUACAUGCAAGUCGAGCGAACAGACGAGGAGCUUGCUCCUCUGACGUUAGCGGCGGACGGGUGAGUAACACGUGGAUAACCUACCUAUAAGACUGGGAUAACUUCGGGAAACCGGAGCUAAUACCGGAUAAUAUAUUGAACCGCAUGGUUCAAUAGUGAAAGACGGUUUUGCUGUCACUUAUAGAUGGAUCCGCGCCGCAUUAGCUAGUUGGUAAGGUAACGGCUUACCAAGGCAACGAUGCGUAGCCGACCUGAGAGGGUGGUCGGCCACACUGGAACUGGGACACGGUCCAGACUCCUAAGGGAGGCAGCAGGAGGGAAUCUUCCGCAAUGGGCGAAAGCUUGACGGAGCAACGCCGCGUGAGUGAUGAAGGUCUUCGGAUCGUAAAACUCUGUUAUUAGGGAAGAACAAAUGUGUAAGUAACUAUGCACGUCUUGACGGUACCUAAUCAGAAAGCCACGGCUAACUACGUG